AGCAAGGGCUUCUCUCAUGAGUGGCACACAUAGGGCAGCUUGAUUGUUCUAUGUGCAGAAUCAACAUAAAAAGAUUUUGGAAGCAUAAUUGUUUGGAAUCCAGGCAACUGGUGGUCAUUGAUCUUGGUGCCUGU